CACACACCUGUUUCCACUCUAUACCUCACCUGCAGCUUGACGAGAGAUGUUCCGUGGAGGCAGGAAGUGCUAAGAGAACAACCCCCUAGUCGGAGCCUGGGAGACACUGUCUCUGUCGAUUAAAUCUUUGAAAUAAGCUGGUUAUUUGCCACUUUGUCAAGAGAGCAGAAGCUGGAUUGAUUCUCAAGGAAGAUGGUUCAUCUGGUGCCAGGAGGUGAUUCAAAGUGAGAUAGGAGCUGGAGGUCCAGUCCAAGUAACACCCCAGCCUCUACCUUCCAAUCGGGCCCUGGACUCCAGGGGAAACCUCUUCCUUCCAACCUGGGACUUUGGGAAGGAGGGUCAAGACCACAGACAGUUUAUUGGGUACCACAUGAGGUGACGGAUGACUGAAGGGGAUGUGUGUUUGUGAGUGACAUGGAAUUCCAUGAAGAGACUCGAGUUACUGAAGAAAGUUUUAGAUUUGGCUUUUGCUCUUGGAAAUGGAUUAUCAAAAGAACCAUAAGAAGCCACUUAAGCCUUACAGAGCAGAGAAUCCACACAGCAUCAUUUUCAUUUUUGCACACAGGGUCACAAGAGCAGUCAAAGAUAAGCCUACACACCCGGAGCAAACAUACAUGUUGGAUAAGGAAGAGCGAGGGACUUUAGCAUGCUGUUGGCUCGUUAAAUCAAACCCGAUAUUGAACCCUGGUCCCUACUGAAGAUUAGAAGUGCAAUUUGGAAAAAGCGACUUUUCCAUUCCAAAAAAAAAAAAAAAAGAAAAAUAAUCUGCAGAAGACGUCUACGAUACCCACUUGCAGUAAGGCCUUCAAGAUAUGAGGUGGUUUUUUUUAUAGCAUUUGUAUUAAGGAUUUUAGGGCAAAUACAUGAUUUUCUUUUUCUACUAGAUAAAAAGAAAAUUAGUGCUUGAAAGGUUCAAAAAUAUAUCAAUCGAGUGAUUUUUUUUCUUUACAUAAAUAAAUUAUAUUGAUUUUUGGAAUUAACAGUUGAAAAAACCCCUUUCUGCUUCCACUGGAGGCAAAACUGAACAAAAUGUUAGUUAAAUAGCGAGCGCAGCAUGUCUAAGAAAUCUGUUGUGAGUAUUUAUAUCGCAUCUGGGCUUCCAGGGUGGUGUCAAAUGGUACGGGUUUAAUUAUUAGAUUUCUUUAGUCUAGGAUCAGUUGCAUGACUUCCGUUUUUAUUACUCCGAUUUGUUAAAGGGGGAUUCUAGUUUCUGCAAACACAUUUGGUUGGUUUUUUGGUAAUGGUUUAACAGACUUCUUUGAGAUGCUAAUUUUCCACAAGUACAUAAUUCAGAAUCCCCCAGGUACAAACGACAGUGACAAAAGCAUCAAAUAAAUAAUGCAAACUGAAAGAGCCAUGGCGAACUUUUGGACCAUUGGAUAAAUUAGGCAAAACUGUAACAGAAACGAAAACUGUAACAGAAAGGAAGUAAAAAAUACAGUAAACUGGGGUGACAAAAUGGGAAACUGACGGGACUCUACCCAAACUCUUCCAUCGCUUUCAACUCUCCUGGGCUGCGGCUUCCUGUCAUUACGGCACCACAGUGGGAAGCGUUUAUUCCAUGUCUCAAACAGAGAGCUCUCACCGCCGGGGAGUGAAGUGUGGGCCCAGACCCCAAUCGGAACGGGACGGAAAGAAGGGGCGAGGAAGACAACCCAAGGGGCACCCCAUUUUAACAGAGGUCCGUGACCUUCGAUGUGGAAAGAGACUUAGGCCAAAGGCGUUGUGAGAGGAGGAGGAGAAAGAGGAGGACGGUCCGGAGUUAAAAAAAAAUCCACUGAGCCUCGGUGACCACUUAGCUCCCAGGGGCAAGUGAACGCAUGGGAAAAGCCCACCGCCUCAGAGGGGAUGAAUGCAGUAGACGAGGACGGGCUGCUAGUGUCAUCGCGGAGAAAGCGGAAGCUGAAAAUAGUGUCGACUGCUUCCCCCACCCCGGACCCACAACCGCCCUCUGUGCCAACUUUCUCAGAGCAAUCGGGGUGAGUUCUUGUAACUGGGAAAGAAAAGGGGGCCAAGUCACCAAAACUCAAGCCAUCUGUUUAUGAAAAUACUUUCAAAUGCCUAGAUGAUACUUUCAGGUACUGCAGGUGCCUGAAACAACCGUGAGGGAGAAAAUGAUCUCACUACCAGUUAGGGUUUUGCUUUUUAAAGAAGAAAUGAAUAUAUGCAUUUUCAAUCAUUAGUUAUAUACUUCUGUCUAUACUACUAAUCUAGUAACCAUGAUAAAAUAGGGCAAUAUUUUAAAUCAAAAAUACACAACAGCACGUACUAUAGCUGUGCUUUGUAUUUCCCAGACCCUUUUUUCCAUUCAGCGUAACUCACAGUCAGAGGAAACUCCCCCUGUCUCUGUUCUUCUGCGUUUCUAGGCGAGACCACCCCCCAAGAGGUAACCACUUCCCCUUUAACUUUUUCUCUCCCCUCCCCACCAUCCCCCCACCCCGAAAAAGCGAGCGAGUUUGAGGGGAUGGGAAGUGUCACCAAGUGCUGGAUUUACUAUUGUUUGCUGGAAUGAACAAGUGGAUAAACAGAACGAGAAUUCUGUGCCUCCCCUACUAGCUAGACAACACGUAUCUGACAGUGGCAAGACCCUGCAACUAUGACCGUAGGUUACAAUAGCUCUUUUACAGGGAAAUUAGGUAAUAUUACUCAUGGAAACACAGGUUUUUCUGAAGGUGAAGUG